GCUAAAGUAGCUUACCAUAAAGUAAUAUCCUGAAGAGAUAUAGACAGGGCCGUAAUAUCCCUCAUUAGUACC
rnacentral:tRNA from 2 species